rnacentral:misc_RNA from 1 species
AACUGAUACUACCUGCGGGAACCUGCGGAGGGAUCAUUACUGAGUUUCACAACUCUCUAACCCUGUGUGAACUGAAGUCUGGUUGCUCAGGCAGGCGGCCCCCGGGGGGAGCCGCAGCUUCUCUGAAGCGCCUGCCGGAGGAUACCUAAACUCGUUUUAACAUAUAAUCUUCUGAGUAAUAAAAAAAAUGAAUCAAAACUUUCAGCAACGGAUCUCU